UACGUAGGGUGCAAGCGUUAAUCGGAAUUACUGGGCGUAAAGCGUGCGCAGGCGGUUCGCUAAGACAGAUGUGAAAUCCCCGGGCUUAACCUGGGAACUGCAUUUGUGACUGGCGGGCUAGAGUAUGGCAGAGGGGGGUAGAAUUCCACGUGUAGCAGUGAAAUGCGUAGAGAUGUGGAGGAAUACCGAUGGCGAAGGCAGCCCCCUGGGCCAAUACUGACGCUCAUGCACGAAAGCGUGGGGAGCAACAGGG
rnacentral:rRNA from 1 species